UGGGGAAUAUUGGACAAUGGGCGGAAGCCUGAUCCAGCCAUGCCGCGUGUGUGAAGAAGGCCUUUUGGUUGUAAAGCACUUUAAGCGAGGAGGAGGCUCUUCUAGUUAAUACCUAGGAUGAGUGGACGUUACUCGCAGAAUAAGCACCGGCUAACUCUGUGCCAGCAGCCGCGGUAAUACAGAGGGUGCGAGCGUUAAUCGGAUUUACUGGGCGUAAAGCGUGCGUAGGCGGCUGAUUAAGUCGGAUGUGAAAUCCCUGAGCUUAACUUAGGAAUUGCAUUCGAUACUGGUCAGCUAGAGUAUGGGAGAGGAUGGUAGAAUUCCAGGUGUAGCGGUGAAAUGCGUAGAGAUAUGGAGGAAUACCGAUGGCGAAGGCAGCCAUCUGGCCUAAUACUGACGCUGAGGUACGAAAGCAUGGGGAGCAAACAGG
rnacentral:rRNA from 1 species